rnacentral:tRNA from 1 species
GCCUCUAUAGCUCAGUGGUAGAGUACCACAUUGGUAAUGUGGGGGUCCCGGGUUCAACCCCCGGUAGAGGCU